rnacentral:rRNA from 1 species
UACGUAGGGGGCAAGCGUUGUCCGGAAUCAUUGGGCGUAAAGAGCGUGUAGGCGGUCCGGUAAGUCCGCUGUGAAAGUCCAGGGCUCAACCCUGGAAUGCCGGUGGAUACUGCCGGGCUAGAGUCCGGAAGAGGCGAGUGGAAUUCCUGGUGUAGCGGUGAAAUGCGCAGAUAUCAGGAGGAACACCGCUGGCGAAGGCAGCUCGCUGGGACGGUACUGACGCUGAGAAGCGAAAGCAUGGGGAGCGAACAGG